rnacentral:rRNA from 1 species
AUUGAACGCUGGCGGCAGGCCUAACACAUGCAAGUCGAACGGUAACAGGAAGAAGCUUGCUUCUUUGCUGACGAGUGGCGGACGGGUGAGUAAUGUCUGGGAAACUGCCUGAUGGAGGGGGAUAACUACUGGAAACGGUAGCUAAUACCGCAUAAUGUCGCAAGACCAAAGAGGGGGACCUUCGGGCCUCUUGCCAUCGGAUGUGCCCAGAUGGGAUUAGCUAGUAGGUGGGGUAACGGCUCACCUAGGCGACGAUCCCUAGCUGGUCUGAGAGGAUGACCAGCCACACUGGAACUGAGACACGGUCCAGACUCCUACGGGAGGCAGCAGUGGGGAAUAUUGCACAAUGGGCGCAAGCCUGAUGCAGCGAUGCCGCGUGUAUGAAGAAGGCCUUCGGGUUGUAAAGUACUUUCAGCGGGGAGGAAGGGAGUAAAGUUAAUACCUUUGCUCAUUGACGUUACCCGCAGAAGAAGCACCGGCUAACUCCGUG